UUAGUUCUGUUUAUGUUUGAUUUCUCCCAAGUGCAGAGCAAGAUCGAUCUCUGGAAGGAAGCAUAUACAUUUCAUGACGUGUCGGAAGAGCCUGUUACUCUAUCUGGUAGUGUCGGGCGACGAUUUUCACGAGCGAUGUCAAUCGUUCCUCACACCGUUUCCAAGACGCGGUAAUUGGGCCAGGAACAUUUCCGUACCAUUUGGGAGGAACCAUUGGUGCACCAUCUGAUGAAGGGCUCUACACUGCCAUGGUCAACCGUUGAGGACUAUAGAGGCGAUGCCAGCUCAAAAACGGAGCUCCAUGUCCACGUCCACCGAAGUGCUGUUAACAACGGUUCGGCGCGAUACAGUAGACACCAAAUUGAACGUUCUACGCAUGGAGUUUAUUAGCGCAAAACGGCCUAAAAACUGCGGUCAACGAAUAUCAACGCAGUGAAAUGACAACGUCUCUGCAUGUGACUUCACCAGAUGCUUCCCGGUACACCAGCAAAACUCCGGUCCACCUAAGCAUUUUGGUGGCGUCGCAUCUGCCAGCCACCAAACAAUGGAGUGGCACCGAAUGACCCGUUUCCGAGUGGGCAGAGCUCCGUCAACAGACUAUAGCGGUGAAGUUAACAGGUUUGAAUGCCAACAUGACCGAUGCAUACACAAGAGAUGGGUUUGCAACGCCCACAAUCAGCUCAAGGAAGAAAACGACACGCAUUGCGCGCUGUUAAAGCGUGAAAAUCAAAUAAAAGUAUAAAUUGGUAUGUCUGAAUACAACGUGCUAUGACUUUCACUACCGUCUGUGAAUUGAUGGUACUCAAUAGACAAAUAUUUUGUGCGAAA